rnacentral:snRNA from 1 species
GGAUGCGAGGAUGAUCUGGCUGUGGCAUCUGUCGCCCCACUGAUCACCAGGGUUGAUUCAGCUGAUCUUCCUGGCUAGGCAGGUGUCCCCUUCCUCCCUCAUGGCUCCAUGUCCCUCCCCAAGCUGCGCCUUCCCUGAACAGAGACAAAUCAUUCUUUGGUGGAGGGUAUAGGAGUAGCUGCGUCCCCAUGUUAGACCCUCCAAACAAGCUCUCAAGAUUCCAUUCCUGCCCAAAAUUCUAUGUACCACAUUAAAAACUGAAGAUGUUUUAUUU